UACGUAGGUGGCAAGCGUUGUCCGGAAUUAUUGGGCGUAAAGCGCGCGCAGGCGGUUCUUUAAGUCUGAUGUGAAAGCCCACGGCUCAACCGUGGAAGGUCAUUGGAAACUGGAGAACUUGAGUACAGAAGAGGAAAGCGGAAUUCCACGUGUAGCGGUGAAAUGCGUAGAGAUGUGGAGGAACACCAGUGGCGAAGGCGGCUUUCUGGUCUGUAACUGACGCUGAGGCGCGAAAGCGUGGGGAGCAAACAGG
rnacentral:rRNA from 1 species